rnacentral:tRNA from 1 species
GGUAAAAUGGCCGAGUAGGCAUUAGACUGUAAAUCUAAUAACAGGGGUGGGAGUCCCCUUUUUGCCA